CCUUGAAAACCGCGAAGUGUUUGUUGCUUCUGAAAAACACAGUUACUCCAAGCUGGCCAACUCCAAUGAAGGCGAACCCUAGGAAAUUCAUGCCAUUGAAGUUGCUCUUAGGAUCGAUUCCACUGCGAUUUCUCAUACUUGCAUGUCUGUUUUCGGAUUAAGAUUUGCCAACUUUAGGGAAGGAUAGUCACCAUAGUCUCACCUAUAUUACUCUCUUUCAUCUUAAUUACCAUUUCUAUCAUUUUUAACUGCAGUUCGCCGGGCGGGAAAAAUUUAAUUUAUGAAUUUUUGGGACAAAAUUACGUUGGUACCCUUAUGUUGUAAAACAUGCAUGUACCAUACAUUGCUCGCAAUGUUGGAGGAUGGAAAUUUCAAACCUGGUGCAUCACGUUGUUUAUGCUCAUAGGUGAUGAUGAUAACUCCACAUUGGACGGUGCAUACUGCACAAGAGGUGACCAAUUGAUGCAAGCUUCUCUUUUCUUCCUUUCCUUCUAUACAAGAGAAACAAUCACCACCAACAUAAAGGUGUCUUCUCCCUCACACUGUUUUCCCCUUCUUUAUCGUCCUUCCCCUCACCUCCUUCUCCUUGCCACCAUCCAAUCUUCUUCCCUUUCUUCUCUGAUUUUUCAAAUUCCGUCUGUUCAAAUUGUGAAACCUUCCCAAACCUUCUAAUUGGCUUUCGGUGGGAAGAGGAACCGCAGAAAAAACCAGAACAGUGACGGAAACCGAAAUGAAGGAACUGCUCCGUCCUUCGAUGAGUAAGAACAAAGAAAAACGAUCUGAAAUUCAUGCUAAGUCGAAAGCUCGCGAUGCUGCUAUUGAAAGAGCUAUCGAGCUCGGUGAAGAGGUUCACUCUCUCUCACUGAAUGGAUGUUGUUGUUUUGAUUUUUUUAUUUCUGUGUUGUUGUAGCUUCCAUAGAAGAACCUUGAAAAUACAAGGGAAGUUGAUGAAACUAUCUGCAAGCCUGAUGAUGAAGAGAAUGACUUUGAGGUGGCUGUCAAAAAGAGGAACGUGAAAGUCUAUUUUACUGACGGUUGGACAUUUUUAAAGAAUUUUAUGUGCUUUUGGCUGGUACUUGGAUCACUGUCAUUUUUGCAAAUCGACACCUUUUUCUGUUUGAAGUUAGGAAUAUGCAUGGAGAUGAGUUGGUGUAUCCUCAAAGCACUCCUCCACAAAGAAUGUUGUUGCAGAACCAUAGUGCUCAUGCUUACGUAAUCCCUUCAUACCAUAUGGUUCUUCUGCCCUUUUACUUCCCACUACCUUCUUCUAUAACACAAUUGUUAAGGAGUUAACCGCUUCUGACGUUACUUUUGGAAUGUUGGUGAGUUGUAUGAUUGUCUAUAUGCAGAAUUUGAAUUGGCUUGACUUUUGUCAAUCUGCAUUUCAGGCUGAGAAAAUUGAAUUAACUGUCAUUGAUUGCCUGGAAAUACUUGGAAGUUGUUUACGGAUUUUUGUCAUGAUGAACGGUUGUCAUGUGUUUUUUCUGGUGAAUGGCAAGCAUUGUGCAGCGCGCAUAAGUUGAUUGAAGGAGCAAAGAUCAAAUUAGGUGUCACAGGAGCAGCUAACAAUAGGGUUGUCUAUCUUUGUGCGCCUCCAAUGUUGGUGCUGAGAACAAAAAUGCCUCCAUCUGCAAGCAUUGGAGAAAAUGGUCCAUCUUAUCAAUUUAAGCAGUAUUUCUGGAAGAAUUAGUAAUAGUAUUAAUUAUGCCACUUCAUAUUUUUGUUUUCAAAGCAUUAUAGAGUGGUUCUAUUCUGAGUUGAGAAAUGUACUCUUUUGGUUGUGUGUACUUUUUACCACUUUAGUGAUUUGAUGAUAAAGUAAUUAACAAAUUGUGAGAUGUACUCUUAUUAUUUGCCUUGUGUACUUUCUGCUACCAAGUUGGGUAUUGAGGAAAUAUUAUCAUUAUCUUUGGUAUGA